rnacentral:lncRNA from 1 species
CUUCAACAGGCUCCUGAAAAAUGAGAUGUCAUCCAUUGGAACUGAAGAGAACCAGGUUCAGGAAGCUUCUGGUUAGAUGAAUAUGUGGAGAUUCCUGGAGAGAGGCAGGCCGUGGAAAAUGCCAGCAGAUGUUUUGAAAUAUGCAGGCUUGAUGACAUUUGGAUCUCUAGAAGUAGGGAGGAGAGCAGAGAAGUUUCUGAAGAAACCAGAAGAGAGAAAAAAAAAAACAGUAGAAUUGUGAGAAUCCAAGGAGAAACAGUAAAGCCAAAACUGGGAGAAAAGGAGAGGUAAGAGUUCUUAAACUAGGAGACUAACAUGAAGGAAAGUAGAAAACAUUCAGAAGCUUGAGAAAUGGUGACCGAGAAAGGAGAGGAAAAGCAUUGAAAAGGUAAGUUCUAAAUGAAUGUCAUGGAGCAAUAUGCAUUAAAACAAAGUAAAUAAGUGUUGUAAAUGACAAGAGGACAGAAUAGAAGCGAUUAACAG